GCUUCAGUCAGUUUGUGUGUGUCUGCUUGAGUCAGUGUGUGCAUCAGUCUGCAUGGGUCUGUCUGUGUGUAUCUGCUUGAGUCAGUGUGUGUAUCUGCUUGGGUCAGUGUGUGUGUGCCUGCAUAAGUCCAUGAAUUUAUGUGUGCCUAGGGCACUGAUUGUACGAGUGUGUGGAUUGAUUGUGAGUGAAUGAGUAAGUUUGUGC